GCGCCCUUAGCUCAGCUGGAUAGAGCAACGGCCUUCUAAGCCGUGGGUCGCAGGUUCGAGUCCUGCAGGGCGCGCCA
rnacentral:tRNA from 22 species